UACGUAGGGUGCGAGCGUUAAUCGGAAUUACUGGGCGUAAAGCGUGCGCAGGCGGUGAUGUAAGACAGAUGUGAAAUCCCCGGGCUCAACCUGGGAACUGCAUUUGUGACUGCAUCGCUGGAGUGCGGCAGAGGGGGAUGGAAUUCCCGGUGUAGCGGUGAAAUGUGUAGAGAUCGGGAGGAACACCGGUGGCGAAGGCGGCCUUCUGGACGGGUGACUGACGCUGAGGCGCGAAAGCGUGGGGAGCAAACGGG
rnacentral:rRNA from 1 species